rnacentral:rRNA from 1 species
UACGUAGGGUGAAAGCGUUGUCCGGAAUUAUUGGGCGUAAAGAGCUCGUAGGCGGUUUGUCGCGUCGGCUGUGAAAUCCCGAGGCUCAACCUCGGGCCUGCAGUCGAUACGGGCAAACUAGAGUGUGGUAGGGGAGACUGGAAUUCCUGGUGUAGCGGUGAAAUGCGCAGAUAUCAGGAGGAACACCGGUGGCGAAGGCGGGUCUCUGGGCCGAUACUGACGCUGAGGAGCGAAAGCGUGGGGAGCGAACAGG